rnacentral:rRNA from 1 species
UACGUAGGGGGCAAGCGUUGUCCGGAAUCAUUGGGCGUAAAGCGCGUGUAGGCGGCCCGGUAAGUCCGCUGUGAAAGUCGGGGGCUCAACCCUCGAAUGCCGGUGGAUACUGUCGGGCUAGAGUGCGGAAGGGGCGAGUGGAAUUCCUGGUGUAGCGGUGAAAUGCGCAGAUAUCAGGAGGAACACCAAUGGCGAAGGCAGCUCGCUGGAACGGUACUGACGCUGAGGCGCGAAAGCGUGGGGAGCGAACAGG